rnacentral:lncRNA from 1 species
AAGAGGGUGCGGAAGGACCUCUCUGUCCUGGUACACUGAGGCAUGAAGGGAACCAUGGCCGGGAGGCAGAGCUACUCCAGAGAGAAGGCAGCGGCGGCCUGAGCCCCUACUUUCUUCAAUCACACCUGAAUAAAUCACUUAGAGAGAGCUUAUAGCUUCAUUCCACCACGUGUGGCAUUUGGCCCUGUUUGGCAGUGAUGACCGCCUUUCUGUUCAGUGUCUGAGUGCUAUGUAGAUUGCACACAGGGGUCCAGAUGCAUUCUGUUUUGAGAAUGUCAGUGGAUACACCAAUAGCUGCUUUGGAUUUCACCAGAACCGCUGUUUGGAAUGCAGCCAAUUCAAGUGAAGAAAUAUCCAUAUUUGUGGCUCUGUUACAGUGGUGAAAUCUACAAC